rnacentral:rRNA from 1 species
GAUGAACGCUGGCGGCGUGCCUAAUACAUGCAAGUCGAGCGAACGGACGAGAAGCUUGCUUCUCGGAUGUUAGCGGCGGACGGGUGAGUAACACGUGGAUAACCAACCUAUAAGACUGUGAUAACUACGGGAAACCGGAGCUGAUACCGGGUAAUAUUUUGAACCGCAUGGUUCAAAAGUGAAAGACGGUCUUGCUGUAACUUAUAGAUGGAUCCGCGCUGCAUUAGCGAGUUGGUAAGGUAGAGGCUUACCAAGGCAACGAUGCAUAGCCGACCUGACAGCGAGGUCGGCCAGACUGGAACUGAGACACGGUCCAGACACCUGCGGGAGGACGCAGUAGGGAAUCUUACGCGAUGGGGGAGAGCCUGACGGAGCAACGCCGCGUGAGUGAUGAAGGUCUUCGGAUCGUAAAACUCUGUUAUUAGGGAAGACCAUAUGUGUAGGUAAAUGUGCACAACUUGACGGUACCAAAGCAGAAAGCCCCGGCUAACUACGUG